rnacentral:misc_RNA from 1 species
AAGUCGUAACAAGGUUUCCGUAGGUGAACCUGCGGAAGGAUCAUUAACACGUAUCCAAACGUAAAAAACCCCCCCCGUGAACAUACCGGAAAGUAGUUUUGAUUCAGAGACCUCGGGCUACGUGAUAACAUUGGAACAGUUACAAUCGAGCGGUAGUUUCAUAGGCAUUGUUUCCCCAAGCAGUUAGUGUCUGAAAGUGUCACUGAUUGUGCAAGGAUAGCGCUUCAACGAUUCCUGUAGACCGUACACUCGGGCAGGAGCUAUGCCAAAGGGUCCCCAUGCCCCCUUAUAACCCCACAGUUUAAUGUGAAGCUCAAUGUAAUACAUUGGGUAAAAAAACCGAACAACUGUUAACAAUGGAUAUCUUGGUUCUC